AAUGUGGACAUUUUCCCACCUCUAUUACUAUUCCUUCCAGGCUAACCUCAUGGCUGCAGCAUCCUCUUCCCCUGCCUACAGCCACAGCAGCUUCAGUUGUGCCAAGGGAGUGUUUCUUGGGAAAGGGAGGUGUUGGGGCAUUGGCAGUUUCUAACAUUCCCUAGGGAAGAGACUGCCAGGCCAGAAGACGCUGUAAGGCAAUAGCUCCAGCAGCGCAGUAGGCCCAACAGCUCUGCCACCAUCUAACUCUCCAGAAUCUUACAUAACUCCUGCAUGCCCUAGAAGAGGAAAAGAAAGAGGAGUUUGUUAAAAGCUUGUUUAAAAGGCUGUGCUGAAGAGCUAUAAACAAUACAGUGUGUUAGUUUACACCGGCAGAGUAAGGAAGAAGGUACAGACAGUUUAAUGGUGCAAUUCACUCCUGCUUCCCCUCCAGGCCACGCAUAUCGCCCGACUGCCAUCUCUAAAUACACCUGGCUUGCAAACCUCUAAUUUACUCUGUCCAAGGCAGCGGAGUGUGUGAUAGAGUCUCCAAAGGGACGAAGGCUUCCCUCAGACUUCACUCUGCUUCUUCUCACAAGCAGCAGAGAAAGGUUUGGGGCUUUUGGAGGUGUGUUUGCCAGCAGCACAGAGCUUGUGAGCGCGGCCUGUCCCGGCCCGAGCCCCGCACUCCGGCGGAGCAGGGGGUCGGGAAGGCCCUUCACAGUUCCACAGUCAAGGCUGUGAAUUAUUUGGAUUAGAUGAGGAAUUUCAAGUGGAAACCAUCAGAAUGUGUGUGAGCGCCUGUGCGAAGCUGAGCUAUGUUUAAAGAAAACAAAUGGCUUCUUAGAGUACCUCUGCAAGGUCCCGUUCUAAAAGGGGGCAUAAGUAACUCUCGUUUUUCCUGAGACUGCAAACUUAAAUGGGAUCAUGGGAUGGGGGGAGGUCCUGAAAGCAGAGAAUCAGGAAAAACCCAUGAUAGCAACUGUAUGAAUAAAUUCGCAAGAUAUGCUGUAAAUAGCUCUGAUGCUGAACAAAUAUAAAACAAAAAAAAAAAAAGUAUUGCAGCCAUUUUAAGAUUUCUGCUUUCUUCUUCACCCCUGCCACUAAGCAGACUUCUUCAACAUGUGACAAGAAGAAUUCAGAGGGAUGCUUGCCAAGUGUUUUCUGACCCAAAUCCUAGAGGUAUCCUCCAUCUGCAGCAACAGACAGCUUGCUGUGGUCUGUCAUUACCUUCUGUUUGGUUUUCAACACCAGCUACCCUAGUUAAUGAAAGAAGAUGCAACCACCAAAGAAAUCGAACAGACAAACUUUAGCAGCAUUUCUGGAAAGCUUAGGGGAAGACUUCUCUAAACUUGAAUAGGCCAGAAUGCUGGGCAAUAAUGACUGAGGCAUGCAUUUGGAAGUGCAUUGUUAAUAGCAAACUCACAUUUAGGAAAACAGGCUACAUAAUGCCAGGUGAAGAGGAUUUAAGGACAAAAAAUGAAAGGCAGAGCCAACCAUUCAAUUUCUGUCAAAAUAUCAUACCUACCUACUCGGCCUCUAUCUGCAGGCAAUAAAUGUCAUAGCUUGAAAGAGCCAGGCUGUCAGAAAUAUUUUUUUUCUGCAGGACUGAGACCCAGCUACACAUCCAUAAAGUUCUUCUAUGUAAAUGUUUGCAUGUGGCCCUUCACAUCUAAGGUUUGUAACAAUGCAUGGUAUUUAGCAAAAUGCCAUUCCCCUAAAGGGCAGCAUAUUUUUAUUCUUAUAAUUUUGCAUGGAAAUUAAAACGAACAUAUUUUAACAUGGGAAAAGAAAACACUUUUCCCCCCAGCUAGGCACUGCUGCCUCACUGUACUGCUGCUGCUGAUGGUGGCCUGAUAUUUUUCUCUGCAUAUUCAGAAACAAUUCAAAUGUAACAAACGCCCAUUUACCUACUACAUAAACACGAGGUACUUAAAAUGCUUGUCUUUGAUAAACCAUUCUCCCCUUUGAGGAUCCAUUAGGCCCAACAUGAAUGAAGCCUAAAAAGCUACUUAAAGCUUUUGGAGAAUUCUCUGGAUUUCCAGCUUCACAUUUCAGUUACUGUGAUGUUUGCAUUAAGAUGCUUGUCUGAGUUCAGCCCUGCAGGAUUCAGAAAAAGAAAAAUGUUCCAUUUGUAUUGAACACAACCGGAACCAGUAAGCUGGUGAAUUAUUAUCGCAUCGUGAAGGUAGAAGGGAAAAUUUCACUUCCAAAGAAACCACUUCUAGCUGGCUUGGAAGAAAUACGUGACUGUGAUACUGUGAUCCAGCCAGUUGUUACCCUGACAGGGUGAAUAGCCUGUGAGAAAGAGGCAUUUCCGUGCUUCCAUAGGAUGCCCAUAUUUGUAAAGAUGCAGAAAGAGAUUUAGGAUUCAACACACAUCCAUCUCAGCCUCCUGCAAGGAAUUCAAUGGACUUUGAAUGUCUGUGAAUGGAGAGACAAUCAGUGAGCAAAAUGAGAAGCUGUUAUCAAUGUGAAUGUACAGCCCCAAAGCUGUACUCAGCUGUGACAACAACUGCCAGGACCUGCAGGAGCCUUAAACUGGGAGGACAGAAGAGUGUUAUGAAAAACCACACUCCAGAAAUCCGUGCAGUGCUCAAGCACUCCUUUAUUAAAAUGGGAGCAGUGGACAUAAGCUUCCAAUAUUGAUGUGUUAAAGUUUUGCUAGCAGAUCAGUGCCAAGUUAUGUGUAUCUAUCUCCGGGGCAAAGAAGAUUAAAAGCCAUCUGGACAUAAUCCCGGGCAAUCUGCUCUAGGUGACCCUUCUUGAACAGGGAUUAUUGACCAGCUAGAAGUUUCUAUCUGAUGGUGAAGAAGGCAGUGUGGGAAGAUGGGAACACAUUGGAGAUUUCCUGUUUGUAACAUGAGCCUCUGUACCACGACUUUCAGAUUACAAACUGAAGAAGCCAUUAAGGGAAAAAAAAAAGAGCUUCUUUGUAAGUGAACAAAAGUGAUGCGAAUUUCUCUUACUAAGAUUCUCCACAUGCUUGUGCAUAGCACUUUAUGGCAUUACACCUCAGAAACUGAUUGGAAGCAAGGAAAAAGAUAUACAGCUUUUCACCAGUAAGUAUAUCCAUGAAAAGAAGGAGAAGGAAGAAAACUUGACUGGUCAACUUCUAGUCCUGUUUCUGGAUUCUGCAAGCAGGAGCACUGACAGAAAUUUUCUAAUGAAAUGAUUUCCCAUCAAAACAUUCUGGACAGAGACUAAGGAUGACAGGCUUCUUCGUUCUUCUUGCUUUACAUUAUCUUGCCAGGUGGGCAACUGGUGGCUGCAUUUCAUGUAUUAAAAUUAUGAGACAUGCCACGUGUGUAAAUGAUUCCACUUUUAGCAGUUGCUGCAUUACAGUAUGUAACAAUAAACAAAGUUAUUCCAGAGUGUGCUUUUCCCCAGCUCACAUUGAAAACCUUUCCCGAAGUCAAGCUUUUCCUUGUUCUUUGUCAUUACAGCAUAUGCUGAUGCAGUCUUCUCAAAAGAAAAGUUUCGUUGCCUGCAACAAUUGGAAAUCACACCAGUAAUUUCACGUCGUGAAAUUUAACAUUUCCAAUCCUGCUAAAUUCCAUUGUCU